rnacentral:rRNA from 1 species
CCUACGGGGGGCUGCAGUGGGGAAUAUUGCACAAUGGGCGAAAGCCUGAUGCAGCAACGCCGCGUGCGGGAUGAAGGCCUUCGGGUUGUAAACCGCUUUCACCAGGGACGAAUGUGACGGUACCUGGAGAAGAAGCACCGGCUAACUACGUGCCAGCAGCCGCGGUGAUACGUAGGGUGCGAGCGUUGUCCGGAUUUAUUGGGCGUAAAGAGCUCGUAGGCGGUUUGUUGCGUCGGAAGUGAAAACCCAGGGCUUAACUUUGGGCUUGCUUUCGAUACGGGCAGACUUGAGGAAGGUAGGGGAGAACGGAAUUCCUGGUGGAGCGGUGGAAUGCGCAGAUAUCAGGAGGAACACCGGUGGCGAAGGCGGUUCUCUGGACCUUUCCUGACGCUGAGGAGCGAAAGCGUGGGGAGCAAACAGGAUUAGAUACCCCGGUAGUC